AGGACGAACGCUGGCGGCGUGCUUAACACAUGCAAGUCGAACGGAAAGGCCCUUUCGGGGGUACUCGAGUGGCGAACGGGUGAGUAACACGUGGGUGAUCUGCCCUGCACUUCGGGAUAAGCUUGGGAAACUGGGUCUAAUACCGGAUAGGACUACGGACUUCAUGGUUUGUGGUGGAAAGCUUUUGCGGUGUGGGAUGGGCCCGCGGCCUAUCAGCUUGUUGGUGGGGUGAUGGCCUACCAAGGCGACGACGGGUA
rnacentral:rRNA from 1 species